rnacentral:rRNA from 1 species
CAAUAGCGUAUAUUAAAGUUGUUGCAGUUAAAAGCUCGUAGUUGGAUUUCUGGCUGGAGCGAUCGGUCCGCCCCGCAAGGGGUGUGUACUAGCGUCGUCUCCGACCAUCCUUGUGGGAACUGUGCGGCCGUUAACUCGGUUGUAUAUGGGAACACAUCGUUUACUGUGAAAAAUUAGAGUGUUUAAAGCAGGCUUAAGCCGUUGAAUACAUUAGCAUGGAAUAAUAAGAUAAGACUUGGGUCAUUAUUUUGUUGGUUUGCGGAUCGAGGUAAUGAUUAAUAGGGAUAGUUGGGGGUAUUCAUAUUUAAUUGUCAGAGGUGAAAUUCUUGGGUUAUUAGUAAGAAUAUACGUAACGUACGGAACGAACGACUUAACUUAACCGGAAAGUAGUUUUUCGUUUACUUAAUUUAACUAACGAAACGGAAAACGGUUAAAAGGGGUUAAGGGGUACGUAACGGAAACGGAACGUACUACGAAGUAACCU